AACGUGCGAACUUAACUGCUGUACCGCCGGGCUGGCCCUUCGGGAAGUUCUUUUCAGGACACGGGCCAUAAACUAGAAUCACCGCUACAGGUUUAUCGGAGCGACAUCAGCGUUCGUGGUGGAUUGAGUCGUCCCCUCUGUCUCUCCCCUCCAGGGGACAACCAAAGGGACGUCUAUCGACCCACCCACCAAGGAUUCCCCCCCCCCGCAUGGCACAGCAGGAUGCCUGAGAGAUCCACGCAGCCCUACAGCGGCAAGUCACAUUCGCACGGUCAAAAUUCAAUGGCAGAGGGGGCUGGCCCCGUGGCCGAGUGGUUAAGUUCGCGCGCUCCGCUGCAGGCGGCCCAGUGUUUCGUGGGUUCGAAUCCUGGGCGCGGACAUGGCACUGUUCAUCAGACCACGCUGAGGCAGCGUCCCACAUGCCACAACUAGAAGAACCCACAACGAAGAAUUCACAACUAUGUACCGGGGGGCUUUGGGGAGAAAAAGGAAAAAAUAAAAUCUUUAAAAAAAAAAUUCAAUGGCAGAGACAAAACGUUAAGGUCAGCGAGAGGGAAGAGAAUAACCGGCCCAGGAGCAACGGUGUGAAGAACAUGGAGAAGACGGGUCCUAGACGCCGGGGUCCCCGGAGCAGCGAUUUCAUCAGAGGCCCGCGAACGUCCACGAUCUCCACACCACGUUUAUGGCCGACUGCGUGUGUGGGUCCUUUGGAAUCGACCAGGCUACCGUCUGGGCCACUUUGGGACAUCGUGUCUAGCUGCCCCGAGCGGUGGAGCUGUCGUUCGAGUAAAACAAGGGCCGGGGGCCGAGCCCGUGGACGAGCGGUCAAGUACGCGCCCCCACCCCGACCCCCGGCUUCGACGGCCCAGGUUUUCACCGGUUCGGAUCCUGGGCGCAGCCCCAGACCCAGCAUCGCCCUUCAAGCCCACAUAGCAGAAACCCGAAAGACCUACCACUGGAACCUACAACUAUGGAUGGACGGGACGGGACGGGACGGGGCGGGGCGGGGCGGGCCCCAGGCGGGGGUGGGGGGGGGCGGCUUUGGGGAGAAGG
rnacentral:lncRNA from 1 species